rnacentral:rRNA from 1 species
AGUGAACGCUGGCGGUAGGCCUAACACAUGCAAGUCGAACGGCAGCACAGGAGAGCUUGCUCUCUGGGUGGCGAGUGGCGGACGGGUGAGGAAUACAUCGGAAUCUACUCUGCCGUGGGGGAUAACGUAGGGAAACUUACGCUAAUACCGCAUACGACCUACGGGUGAAAGCAGGGGAUCUUCGGGCCUUGCGCGAUUGAAUGAGCCGAUGUCGGAUUAGCUAGUUGGCGGGGUAAAGGCCCACCAAGGCGACGAUCCGUAGCUGGUUUGAGAGGAUGAUCAGCCACACUGGAACUGAGACACGGUCCAGACUCCUACGGGAGGCAGCAGUGGGGAAUAUUGGACAAUGGGCGCAAGCCUGAUCCAGCCAUACCGCGUGGGUGAAGAAGGCCUUCGGGUUGUAAAGCCCUUUUGUUGGGAAAGAAAUCCAGCUGGCUAAUAACCGGUUGGGAUGACGGUACCCAAAGAAUAAGCACCGGCUAACUUCGUGCCAGCCGCCGCCGUAA